ensembl:lncRNA
AUGCCUGGCAAGAACCGUGCCAGGACCAAGCUAACACAGAGCGGACAGUCAGACUCUUUUCUCCCACAGGGGAAGGAUGAACUCUCUGCCCAGAAAAUAAGGUGUGCAGGAGGAAAGGAGGAACGGGGCGAGGGGAAAGAGAAAAAGCGAGUUGCCCGCAGACAAGAAUGUGUGUCGCUUUCAAGAAAGUUCAGUCAGAUGAUCCUCAGACGCCUGACUCACUUGCCUUGGCGGCGGAAAGGAGCACCCGGAGCACGAGCUGCCCGGCUGCUGCCUGCCACAGGAGCGGCCCCUUUGCAACUUGCAAAGUUUGUUGCUUGUGCCCCUGAUGCCGACAGCAGCUCCUGGGAUGCUGCUGCUUCCCACAGAGCCCUGGGAAAGGGGCCUGCUCUGCCACCCCCCAGCCCUCCCAGCCCCAACAGCCGCCUGCCAGCCCCAGCCUCUGAAAAAUCGCGCAGACACAUGCAUGCUGCAAUGCAAAUCGAGUCGCGAAACUGUUUUAGAGAAGGGACUAAAGUUGUCUUUUCAAAGAAAACUGAAUUAGGAGGGGAUGGAAAGGAAAUGAGAAAAGGAAAGAAGAGUUGGAUUUGAUUUUUCUCCAAAGUUUCUGCUGAAGGGUUGGGUACUGUGUGUCAUGGGUGGGGGAAUAUUCUACCAACACCUUUGGUCUCCCAUUUUCAGUGGCUGAAGAAAGAGGAGCAAGUUGAAUGUUUUCAGGGCUUUGAGUCCUAGAGGAGAAACAAGCUGAUGAGCAGAAAUUGAUGGUCCCAGUUUAAAAAUCAACCCUUCACUCCUCACCCACUUCCUCAAAAGAGUUGGAUGUGCAUGCUGGUAGCAAAUGCAUUAGAAACCAAUGAGGGAUAGACAAGUGUUCUGGUCUCUCGGUCUCUCUCUCGGGAGGUGCUUCCCUGGAAAAGGCUAGGAAAUGCACUCAACCCCUUACUCAGGAUGAGACUCCCAGCUUGCUCUCUCCUGACAGGUGAAGCUGGGCUGGGGCAAGCUAGAGUAGCUAGAGUUGCCUAAGGCCCACAGUUGGGUACAGACUGGGUUAUCUUAACAAGUGUGGCAGUCUUGGGCAAGUGGCUUUCUUCCUAAAGUUGAGGGGUUCCCAGGGAGCCUGGUUAGCUGGCUGUCAGAGCACUCAGGCAGUGUGUGUGUGUGUGUGUGUGGCAGGUACCAGUCCAUCUCCAUCCUGUUGUCUCUGUGGAGAGCCUCUGCAAGUUUGGUCAUGCAGCACACACAGGAGGCUGGGGGCUAUGUAUCUAGAGCUGAUCUAUUGGUUUUAUUUCAGUUUGGAAACACUAAGUCAAUUGGGGCCGAAAUACUCUUUCCUUCGCAGCAGCGCUAAGAGCCUGCUGGUGUCCACAGUGUCAUGGUCCACCAGGGACCAGGGCUGGCUAAGGAUUUUAAACUUUACAUGGUCCUUCUGUUGCCGCAUCCCAACAAAUUCACGACUUUAAGCAUUUAUUUUCAAACAUGGAUCCAAAGCAGUAUUUUAAAGUUGCACCCUGCACUGCUGGGUCACAUUUCAGAUGCUUCUCUUCUUUUCUUUCAUCAUUUGUUUCAAGUGAAGAAAAUUCCAAGGGGUUAUCAGAGACCCUAACUGCCGGACUCAGACUGUUUCCUGGGAAAAAUGUGGUCGACCCUGAAGGUAGGAAGGGAGGGUGUUGCUAGUUCUCCAGCCCUGCCGCAUCGAUUUUGAAGAUGUGGGAGAGUCUUUCCCUCACGACAGUUUUUGUCAUCUGCAUUCUUCCAAAGCUUUAAAGGUGCAUUUUCUUCUGUGUGAAAGGGAAUUCUUUGUCCUUUUCCUCUCCAGCAUCGUGGCUUCCCAAGGUAGAAGACACUAUUUUGUGCCUGUCACAGAGAGAGGGAGUGCAGGUUUGCAGGGCUCACAGACAAUUGAUUGUCUGCCCUAAUGUGUUUCAUUUACAUGUUUAUAACGUCAAUGGUGCUGGGGUGUCCACUGUACCAUUCAUUCCCGCAUUCCCACAAGGGGGCAAUUGUCUGAAUAGCCAAGUCAGACACCUUUUUGAUUGCUCUUUGGUUGUCUCUUUAGAGCAAAGAGAUAAAGGAGGGAAAUCUGUGAUGCAGAAACACUAGUUGAAAAUAUACAGAAUUAAAUGUCACCACAAAAGCAGAUGUUAACGUAAUCCCAAAUAUGCUUUUCAGCCAAGAUGCGAAGGUGGGAAAAAAAAUAAUUCAGAGUAGAGGCAAGGAUGAUUUAAACCCAAUCUAUGGAAUCCUAUCCUCCAUCCAGCCCCCUGGAUUUCUUUUCUUUCUUUAGCAGUCAGAAGAUGAACUGUGAUUUUCCUUUUAAUUUUUAAGCCUUGAAACAUUUAGGCACUUCUUCAUUAUUUGUGUGUUUGCUGUGAUUUGUGAAUCUUGUAUAUAUUUAUAUAGCUCUGUUUAUGCCAACACCAUCAGCUUCCCACUUGAAAAAUCUAUUGAAUGACUAUUUGGGCUAUGGGGAAUGUAAACUUUUAAAAAGUAGGAUCCAAGUAUUUCUUCAUCAAGUUUUUUUUUUUUUUUUUUAAAGGAAAAUGAUAUAAAUCAGUAGGCUCUGUGGAAGCCUUUGCCUUAAUAGCUAUGGUCCAGGUACUUUUAUCUUGCGUGACAGUUGUGUCAGAGUGAAAGCUCUCAGGAAAAGUGUAACUAGCAGUUACAAAGUAAAUAAAGGAUUUCAUUUUAAGGUGUUCUGUACUGUU